CAAUUGAUCCUACGACAGAACCAUCCAUCUUCAGGUCGGGGAACUGGACCAACGGGAGACCAACCUCUAUUAAAUGGUCACAAUAACAUUGAUCAUAACUCUAUACAGAUCAGUGUCCACAAGUUGAAUGGAAAAAACAACAUACCAUGGUCUCAAGCUAUGAAAUUGAUGAUCAGGGGAAGAGGCAAGUUGGGCUACUUGACUGGAAUUGUUAAAGCUCCACAAGAAGAUGACCCUGUGUACCAGAAAUGGGAUGCUGAGGAUAGUACUGUGAUGACCUGGUUGAUUAAUUCCAUGAAGGAGGAGAUUGGCUGACUAUACUUAUUUCUUCCUACUGCAAAGGACAUUUGGGAUAUGGCUAAAGAAACAUACUCAUACAUGGGAAACUUAGUGCAGAUUUUUGAGUUAAAGUCAAGACUGAGAGAGACCAAACAGGAUAGUUGUAUGUUACCCAGAAUUAUAGUACGUUGGCUCAACUGUGGCAGGAGUUGGACUUGUUUGUGGAGAUAAUUGGAGUUGUACUCAAGAUAAUGUCAAAUACACGAAAAUGUUGGAGAAAGAAAGAGUAUUUGAGUUCUUUGUUGGACUAAAUAAGGAACUACAUGACGUGAGAGGGAGAGUUUUGGGCAAAGAACCCUUACCCUCUGUCCGAGAGGUAUUUGUAGAAGGUGGGUAGCAAGGAAAGUAGGAGUAAAGUGAUGAUGGGAGAAUUGACUAGUAUCUCAAAUGUACAGCCUGAACCGGAAGCUUUAGCCUUAGCUUCUAAGGGUUGGGAGAGUUAUGUUGGAGAUCAAACAUGGCAAAAAGGAGAAAAAAUCUGGUGCUAGUACUGUCGUAAACUGCGGCAUACUAAGGCGACCCCUAGAAAUUACAUCGCAGGCCAUCGAAUUGAAAGUUUUGACAAUCUGACCAGUUAUUUGUUAGCUGCAAUUUCCAGACACUGUCCUAAUAGAUUGGCAUACGCGGAGUAGCUAUUGUUGGUUUUGUGUCUGCUGGAUGGUUAGCUUCUCUUCUAAUCACGAAUGGAGCAGGAUUUGGAUGUGGAAGGGGAUGAUACUUUUUGCAUGGGGAAGACUUAAUUAGAAGAUUUAGAUCAACGCUGGUAAAUGCCACAAAGACUACAAAAGUUUUGAUCUCGAAUGAUGAAAUUCUGGAGUUAUUUUGCAGAAUUGGACUUCAAAAGUUAAUGUGUGGUUGAAGAUUUUAGCUGGAUUCCUACAAUUGCAAAAGGUUUCUGCACAGCUUUAUGAAAUUUUUCGAGUGGUGUUGGCGUUGAAGCCUUUUUCAAAGGCUAUGAUUCGAAAGCCUGUAGGCAUUGUUUGGAGUUUUUUUGCUAAUAUUUCAUGUUACUGAUGUGGAGAGUAAAAGUAAGUUGUGAUU